AUCGCACCAAACCACCGAACAACCUUGCCUUCGAGAGAAACCAAGAGUGCGGGAGGAGGCGCAUCCACAGAAUCCGGUGCUCGAUGGCGUAGCGCUCCAGCGAAGAGAACUGAGGGAGUAUUGGUCUAGGCUGCGCGUCCGCAAAACAGAACCUAGUAUCGAGGGUGGCUAGAGCAUGGGGAAUCGCUCGCGGGACUUGCUCUCGCCUUUGUGGAAUCCAGCCGCCACGGCCAGGCCCACUCGCUGCACAAUCCCUGACGAGCAAGCAACUGCGGACCCAGUACUCAGCAGAUGGAUAAUACUGAGCAGGAGCUCGUUGAAGGUGAAGAGCAGGUAGCCCAGGAGGAGGUCUACAACGAGUACGAGCUAAUCUAGGUGGCGUCUCCUAGUCAGCGUUAUGGCGCCAAGGAAUAAUUAUUAGUUCGCUUUAUUGUUAUCAUUUAUUCAUGUAAGACAUUUUCGCAAUGUAAUAAUUUUUGUGACAUUUAUCUCUAUACAUUUGGUCAUUA